rnacentral:sRNA from 1 species
GCCGGGCGUGGUGGCGCACGCCUAUAAUCCCAGCAGCUCGGGAGGCUGAGGCAGGAAGAUCUUGAGUUCAAAGCCAGUCUCAGCAAAAAGCAAGGGGCUAAGCAACUCAGUGAGACCCUGUUUCUA